rnacentral:misc_RNA from 1 species
GCAAACUUGGUCAUUUAGAGGAAGUAAAAGUCGUAACAAGGUUUCCGUAGGUGAACCUGCGGAAGGAUCAUUACCGAGCGCGCGAUCCCCGGCACCCCCGGGGACGCAACCUCCCACCCCCUGUUGACCAUCCUGUUGCUUCGGUGGGCCGGUACCCCCCUCGCGGGGUGCCCGCCGUCCCCCCGUGGCCGCCGCGCGCGCCCACCGGAGCCCCCCCCAAACUCGACCGACACGCGAGCCGUCCGAGUAGUGAGAAUACAAUCACACAAAACUUUCAACAAUGGAUCUCUUGGCUCUGGCAUCGAUGAAGAACGCAGC